rnacentral:rRNA from 1 species
CCUACGGGAGGCAGCAGUGGGGAAUCUUGCGCAAUGCGCGAAAGCGUGACGCAGCAACACCGCGUGAGGGAAGACGGCCUUCGGGUUGUAAACCUCUUUCAGGAGGGACGAAGGCAGGCCGGUUAAUAGCCGUGCCGGCUGACGGUACCUCCACAAGAAGCACCGGCUAACUACGUGCCAGCAGCCGCGGUAAUACGUAGGGUGCAAGCGUUGUCCGGAAUCAUUGGGCGUAAAGCGCGCGUAGGCGGCCCGAUAAGUCCGCUGUAAAAGUCAACGGCUCAACUGUUGAAAGCCGGUGGAUACUGUCGGGCUAGAGUACGGAAGAGGCAAGUGGAAUUCCUGGUGUAGCGGUGGAAUGCGCAGAUAUCAGGAGGAACACCUAUAGCGAAGGCAGCUUGCUGGGACGUUACUGACGCUAAGGCGCGAAAGCGUGGGGAGCGAACAGGAUUAGAUACCCUGGUAGUCCACGCCGUAAACGAUGAGAACCUAGGUGUGGGAGGUGUCGACUCCUCCCGUGCCGUCGCUAACGCAUUAAGUUCUCCGCCUGGGGAGUACGGCCGCAAGGCUAAAACUCAAAUGAAUUGACGG